rnacentral:rRNA from 1 species
GACGAACGCUGGCGGCGUGCCUAAUACAUGCAAGUCGAACGCAGUGGGGACGGGUGAGAAACACGUGGGUAACCUGCCAUCAGAGGGGGUAACAGGUGGAAACAGGAGCUAAAACCGAUACUGAUGGAUGGACCCGCUGUGCAGUAGCUAGUUGGUGAGGUAACGGCUCACCAAGGCCACGAUGAAUAGCCGACCUGAGAGGGUGAUCGUCCACACUGGGACUGAGACACGGCCCAGACGCCUACGGGAGGCAGCAGUAGGGAAUCUUCGGCAAUGGACGAAAGUCUGACCGAGCAACGCCGCGUGAGUGAAGAAGGUUUUCGGAUUGUAAAACUCUGUUUGUCGAGAAGCGUUAUCUAACCAGAAAGCCACGGCUAACUACGUGCCAGCAGCCGCGGUAAUAC